UUUUUCAACCGAAAUCCGACAAAGAUAUAAAGUUAAAUUCAACAAAAAGAAAAAAUACAAGCCCGACCUCGGGUGUCACUAAGUCAUAAGCAAAAUACUACAACUGUUCGAAUUAAAAUAAGACUAACAUAGUCUGAGAAUAGCCAACAAAUACACUAAGAGGAAGAUAAGGAAGGAGAAAGGUGGGACUGUGUCGCCAGGCAGCUACCUCGCUAUCUCCAAGGAAAGUCCACAACUGAAAUGGUCAGCAACCGCUACCGUGGCCCGAGAUACCUGUAUCUGCACACAAGGUGCAGGGGUAACUUGAGUACAUCAACUCAGUAAGUAACAAGUCCAAACUAUGUACUGACAGGUAGUGAACCAAACCUCAACAGGUAAUACAAUUAAACUAUACAGAAAAGUAGACAUGCUUGCAGUUCAAGUAAAAACUCAAAAGUAAAUAAAUACAGUUUGAACAGUACGGAGUAUAAAAUUCAAGAAAUCUCUAUGUACCAAUGCACAAAUAGAAUGAUCAAUAUUCCAUGUACCUCCUCUCACAAGAGCUCAACCACUCAGUAUUGUAUAUGGUCAUCCGACCCAGGGAAGAUCCAUCCUGAAAUAUAUACACAUUGCACUGACCAUAGUCAUCCAGUACCGAGGAAGGUCAUUCCAGCCCUAUGGAGAAUAUCCAUCUCCAUGUAUAAAUACUUUGGACAAAAUCCAUGUCCAGAGAAGAUCAAUCCCUCAAUAUCAUCAACUGCGCUAACUGGGGGUGUGUUACAGAUUCCGGAGGGGCCAUACAGCCCAAGCGCUAUCAUAACCAUCAACAUAACCGCUGCAGCGUGCAGCCCGAUCCCAUAACUGUCACUCACAAUCAGGAUCUCAACCUCACUCAGUCAUCACUCUCCAGUCUCACACACACGGGCCCAAAAUGUCAUGAUACAAGCCCUAAAAAUGAUAUGAUGUGCCAAAUAACAAUAAUCGAGACUGAGGCAUGGUAUAAAAUGCAUGAACAUGACUGAGUACAGAAUAUCAAUGAAGCUAAUGAUAUGACAGCAAGAAACGAUCUCUCGGGUCUCAACAGUAUCGACGUGAAGCCUUAACAUGAUAAUUAGCAUGAUUUACAGCUCAUUAACUUAAUCACAUAAUCACAACACAGAUAUCAACAAGAAAGAGUCACUAAGUGGUGCCAUGGAAUGAUCCAGGCCAUGAUUCUCACAGUGCACGCCCACACGCCCGUCACAUGGCUUUUGUGUCACCUCAAUAGAAAUCAUAGAACAUAUAGUUCAGGGUUUCGAACCCUCAUAACCAAGUUUGGAAGCGUUACUUACCUCAAGUCAAGCCAAACUCUAGCCCGUGAUGCCCUUGCCUCUCGAUUAGGCCUCCAAAUGCUCCGAAUCUAACAAAAAUCAAUAUAUUAUCAUCAAUAUACGCUAAAGGAAUGAAACCCAUAUGAAAAUUAUCAAAUUAACUCAAAAAUCCCAAAAUUGGCUAAACCCGACCUCGGGACCACGUCUCAAAAUUCGAUAAAAAGCACAUCACAAGAAUCUUCAUCCUUCCACGAGUCUAUACAUACCAAGAAUAUUCAAAUGGACCUCAAAUGGCCCCUCAAAUCCCCAAUAUAAACUCUCCAAUUUCAAGCCCUAAUCCCUUAAUUUUAACCGUUGAAUCCCACAAAUUUCAUGUCUAAUUAGUUGGAAAUCACCACAGAAUCGAGUUUUGAGUUCACAAAUCUUACCUCCAAGUGUUAUCCCUUGAAUCCCUCUUCAAAUCCUCUCAAAAAGCUUCAAAGCCGUUCAAAAAUGGUGAGAAAAGAGCUGAAAAUCGCGAAGGCCUCUAUUUAUACUUUCUGCCCAGAUGCUCCCUUCUUCGCGAACAUGGUCAAAGCCUCACGUUCGCGAAGCAAAAAAAUUUCACUGCUCAAUUUUCUUCUUUCGCGAACACGAGUACCCUCUCGCGAACGUGCAGCUUCACUUGCUAGACCCUUCGCGAACGCGUUGUCCUCUGCGCGAAUGCAUAGAAGAAAUCAUUGGGGUCCAGCUGAUCCAUACUUUCCUCUUCGUGAACGUAUUCAACUCCUCGCGUUCGCGAUCCUUCCACUAGCCAUACCUUCACGAACGCGAAGAACAAAUCUCUGCAACGAAAAUACCAGAAAAUCGGCUAUCUUUUCAAAGUCAAAAAUGAUCUGUUAACCACCCGAAACUCACCCGAGGCCUUGGGGACCUUAACUAAACAUGCCAACGCAUCCCAUAACAUCAUCCAAACUUGUUCCAACCUUCGGAAUACUCAAAAAAAUAUCAAAACAUCAAAUCAACAUCGGAUUCAAGCCUAAGGAUUUUCAAACUUCUGAAUUUCGCAACCGAUGCAAAAACCUAUCAAACCUCUUCCAAAUUACCUAAAAUUUUGCACACACGUCACAAAUGACACAACGGACCUAGGCCAACUUCCAGAAUUCCUAUCCGACCUCUAUAUCAAAAUUUUCACUGCCGACCGAAAAAUGUCAAAUUUCCAAUUUCGCCAAUUCAAGCCUAAAUCUUUCACGGACCUCCGAAAUACAUUACGAUCACGCUCCUAAGUCCCAAAUCACCUGACGAAGCUAUCCGAACCAUCAGAAUUCAUAUCUGAGACCUUCUACCCAUAAGUCAACAUCUGAUUGACUUUUCCAACUUAAGCUUACUCAAAAGAGACUAAGUGUUUCAUUUCUCUACAAAACCACUUCGAAUCCGAACCAGCCAACCCGAUACCACAUAAUACAACUGAACAACACAUAAAGAAGCAUAAAUGGGGAAAACGGAGAGGUAACUCAUGAAACAACCGGUCGGGUCAUUACAAGGGUACGACUUGGUGACUUGUUGCUUUGGAAGUUGUGAUAUUUCUAACAAUAAAUGUAAGUGAAGAUAAUUUGUUUUACCCAAAAUUGAAGAGACUAUUAACCCUCUUGUUUUUUGGAUUCUCAAGUAUUUUUUGAGGUGCAAAUUUUUUCAGUGAAAUUCUUGGACUUGGACAAUAAGUUGUAUCUUUGGUUUCUCAAUAGAAUUACACUAUAUUUUUAUAUUGUAUUGGUAAUAUAUAAGUUGUGUAGAUUAAGAUCAAAAUUUGGGUUAAUCCACUAUAUAAAUUUUUAAAUUUCUUAAUAAUAUGUGUAUGAGAUAAAAUUGAUUUAUAAUAAAUGGUGGAAUGGUAGCAUAACACGUGAAACCGAGAAUAGGUAAAAGUCAAGUCAAAUAACGGCCAAUACCAAAUAUAACAAAUUCAACUGGCAUGGGGGUAAAUCUCGAAGGGAACAUGGUUAACUGGACCAAGUAUUUUCCAUCGGGUAGAAUUCAACGAGGGAAUACUUUUUAAAAUUAAAUGAGUGACCGUUGUAGAGAAUAUUUGCAUUCAUGGCCUAUCAUUACAUGCUCAUUAAUGGCUCUUUUAUUAUCAUUUAAGAGGAGUAUAAUCCUAGGAUCUUGUAUUCCUAAAUAAGCUAUAAAUAGUGGGAUCAGUACCCAUUGUAGGACACAAAAUUCUUUGCAAAUAUUUGUUGUAUUUUACUUUUGCUCUCAAUUAAAUAACUUACUUGUUCUUUAUCAUUGCUCUCAAUUUGUCAUCGGAGACAUUGCACUCGGAGUCAGGCUUGUCAUUUUAUUCAAUUUCAAUUGCUAAAAUCUCAUUUUUAAUCUUAUUUCUUUAUCAUUUUUGGAUCAAAUUAGUUCUCUUGUCUAUAAACCACGUAACAAAUUUAACUGUACCAUAUUAUGGGUAAACAGUUUGGCGCCCACUGUACCCUAAAGACUCGUUCCCAUUGCCAAACAUUGAUCAAAUGAUUGAUGUUAUGGUCGGGCAAGAGUUAAUGAGUUUCCCUGAUGCUUACUCUGAGUAUAAUCAAAUCAAGAUGAGCCCGGAGGAUCAGGAGAAAACUUCUUUCAUAACAAACUUUGGCACAUAUUGUUAUAAUGUGAUGCCAUUUGGGCUUAAGAACAUUAGAUCCACUUAUUAGAGGCUCGUUAACAAAAUGAUCAAAAAUCAGAUAGACAAAACAAUAGAGGUUUAAUUGAUUACAUGUUAGUCAAGUCUUUGAAUGUAGGAGAUCAUUUGAAACAUCUCCAAAAAACUUUCGAUGUCUUGAGGAAGCAUAACAUGAAACUCAAUCCGAAAAAAUGUGCGCUUGUGGUUGGUUCCAAAAUAUUCUUAGGGUUUCUGGUCUCGCAAAGAGGGAUCAAGGUAAAUCCCUAAAAAAUCAAAGCUAUCGAGGAUAUUCCGGACCAAUUGACAAAUGGAAAUAAGGUAUAGAGGAUGAUCGAAAGAUUGGCGGCUCUAAGUAGAUUCAUCUUGAGAUCCUCUAAAAAGUGCUAUCACUUCUUUUCACUUUUGAAAAAGAAGAAUAAUUUCAAAUGGACUCUGGAAUGCCAACAGGCCUGGAAAGACCUAAAAAGGUACCUAUCAAGCCCCUUGUUACUGUCAAAAUCGGGAAAAGGCGAGUAGUUGCUAAUAUAUCUUGCGGUCUCGGAAGUAGCGAUAAGUAUUGUUUUAGUCUGAGAGGAAAAAGGUAUGUAAUUUGCAAUUUAUUAUGUUAGUAAAAUAUUAUCGGGAGCGGAGACUCAUUAUCCGCACCUCGAAAAGUUGGUCUUAGCUCUCGAAAGCUUAUGCCUUAUUUUCAGUGCCACCAGCUAGUCGUUGUGACAACCUUUCCCUUAAGGAAUAUUCUUCACAACCUGAGUUAUCAGGCCGUUUAGCCAAAUGGGCAAUCAAAAUUAGUGAGUUCGACAUUAAUACAAACCUAGUAUUGCGAUCAAGUCACACGUUUUGGCUGACUUUGUGGCCGAUUUAAUGCCUGGGUUAAUGCCUUUGGCUGCCAAGGAAGGAGUGUUGGUGUCAGAAAUGACAUCAGGAAUCUGGACCUUGUUUACAGAUGGAGCUUCCAAUGUAAAAAGGUCCGAUCUCUAGAUAGUUCUAGUCACGCUCUAGGGAAACCCUAUGGUAGGCCAUUAAGACUGUUCCGUUCACUACAAUGAAGUCGAGUAUGAGGCUUUGGUUAUAGGACUUGAACUAGCUUGACUCGGCUUUGAGGUCAUCGAGAUAAAGUGUGAUUCCUAACUAGUGGUAAACCAAGUAUAUGGGAUCUUUUACACGAAGGAAGAGCGCAUGCAACAAUAUCUGAGAAAGUUUUAGGCAUUGAUCAUACAAUAUAGGGAAUGGUCGAUCAUACACAUUCCAAUGGAAGAAAAUAUAGAAGCAGAUGUAUUGGCCAAUUUGGGGUCAUCUACGGAGAUGAAAGGAUCUAACUCUGUUACUGUCGUUCAACUUCUGCAUUCGGUAUUGGAUGAGGAUGGAUAUUGUGAAGUCAAUUCAACAAACCUAGUCUGGUACUAGAGAAAUGGGUUCGUCUAAUAUCUUUAGCAUGGCAAAUUCCCGAAGACCCGAAGGCGUCUCGGGCACUACGAACUAAAGAAGCUCGCUACUGCCUCGUAGAUGGGCAAUUAUAUAGAAGAUCAUACCAAGGACCAUUGACCCGAUGUCUGGGACCCUCGUAGAAGUUAAAUUCUUAAGUUUAUAGAAAAUUUGCGGUUGGUAAAAUGAUGAGUAAAUAUUGUCGUUUUAGUCAUAUUUUAUAGUACUUUGCAUAAUUCAAGGAAAAGUUGGCCUAGGAUUCCUAUUAACCAACUUUUGGCACAAUAAUAACUCAUAAAUAGUAGGAAUAUUUUCUCCGUUGUAACUUGAGUAAUUACCUUACAUAAUUUUUUUUCCAUCAAUUUGCGUUGACCAGAGUGUGACUCCAGCCCAAUCCAACAAAGGAAAGCAGCUGGCCCACUAAUGUAACUGAAAAUAUCCAGCCCACUUAUACAUUUACUUGUAUUUUUUAUUUCACAUACCUGUAAAUAUAAAAGCACAAUAUCUGGGAAGUGAAUUAGUUUUUUGGUCAAUAGUCAUUUUGACCAGCUCAUUUUUUCUCUCGAACCUUCUGUAUCUUCCUUCUCUCUUCUCUCAAUUUUAGGGUUUUCUCUUCAUUUAUUUCUACCAUGGCUAAUCUCUAUACCAAGUUAACAUGGUAUCAGAACAGGGAUUUAGAUUCCUCUUGUCCUGAGCUCUCUUCCGAUUGUACCCUCGCCGGAAUUUUUUCUCGUUUUCUUUUUGGAUGAAGUCAGAAGUAGUAUUCUGCUCUUUCAUCGGAGAAUUUUGGGACUUUUCAGGUUCAAUCCUUUAUUGAGGUAUAUCUUCUCCGAAUUUUUGGUUUUCAUGAAGGUGCUGUUAUAUUUGGGAGCAAAAAUCAUGUCUAGGGUUUUCGAUUAGACGAGACCUAACUUCUUCGGGUUUUCAGAAGAAGGAUGAUAUAUUUCUCACUAUCUGUAUGUAUUGAUUUUCUGUUGAUUGCACUCUGCCUCUAUUUGUUAUCAGUCGACUUUUAUCUCUUAUAUUGUGAACUCGUUCUGAUUACAACUCGUUCUGAUGGGUAGUAUAUUGAAUAAUAAUGAUGUGUCUUCGACUUCUGCUAGUUUUGUUCCUUUUUCACUGGAUCCAUCUCACCCUCUCUAUAUUCACCUGUCUGAUAACCCUAGUAGUCAGUUGGUGUCUGUGCCAUUCAAUGGGUCUAGGUUUGUACUUUGGAGAAGUAGUAUGGUCACUUCUCUCUCUGCAAAGAACAAAUUAGGGUUAGUAGAUGGUAGAGUCUCUCAUCCCACAUCAGAUUCCCCUUACUAUGCGUAUUGAGAAAGAUGUAAUGACAUGGUCAAGGCCUGGAUAACAAAUUCAGUAUCUAGAGAGAUUGCUACCAGUUAUGUAUUUUAGGACUGCCAAGGAAGACAGACAUCAAUGAUAGGUUUGGACAGUCAAAUGGGUCUAAGUACAUCCAACUUCAAAGGGAAUUUCAUUUUACUACUCAGGGGUCUUCUGACAUAGCAUCUUACUUCACAAAGAUGAGAAGCCUCUAGAAUGAACUACAUUCUUCUUAUUUAGGACAUGUAUGCUCUUGUGGUGCCUUUCCUAAAUUCAUAGAAGAUCAACAAUUAUUUCAAUUUCUAAAUGGUUUAAAUGAGUCCUAUUCAACUGUAAAAAGUGCUAUUAUGAUGAUGAACCCUCUUCCACCAAUGAGCAAGGUUUAUUCCCUUCUUCAACAUGAUGAAAGUCAAAUGGAAGCUCAUUCUUCUGUCCCAAGUCUUUCCGGAGAUACAUCCUCCUUUCUAGUUUCUGCUGGAUCAUCAAAUGGGAACAGAACUUUCAGUCAAAAGGUGAAUUUUGAAUCUACGAGGUCUAACAAAAAUACUUAUUGCAAAUAUUGCAAGAAACCUGGACACACUGUGGACAAAUGUUACAGGCUCCAUGGAUUUCCUCUAGACUUCAAGUUCACGAAGAAUAAGAAGUCUGUUUCAUGUGUCCAAACUGAAUAUUCUUUCACUCUUUCUACACCUUUGCAUGCUGCUCCAACUACACAGUUUCCCGAGUCAUCAGCUCAUGGUUUUACUAAAGAGCAGUACCAACAUCUCCUAGCUCUAUUUCAGCAGGCUCAACUAUCUUCUAGGUCAAUUCAUGAUGAGUCUACUAUAGACAACACUGCAUUUGUCCAUUUUGCAGGUUUGUUUAGUAGUUAUGAUGUAAGUUCUGUGGAUUCUCAUGUAUGUGCUUCAUCACAAUUAAAAGUAAAUCCUUGUAUAUUAGAUACAAGUGCAACUAACCAUAUGACUCCACAUAAACACUUACUUUUUAAUGUAAAGCCUUUACCUAAGUCAUUCCUUGUUACUUUGCCAAAUGGAUAUAAAGCCAAAGUAGCUUCCACUGGAUCUUUAUAUCUCAGACAUGAUACAGUCUUACUUCAUGUCCUCAUUGUUCCUUCCUUUCAAUUUAAUCUAAUUUAUGUACCCCAACUCAUCUGUCAAUUAGAUUGUUCAUCUUUAUUUACCAAAUCAAUAUGUUCUUUACAGGGCCCUUCUAUGAAGAGGCCACUGAAAAUUGGUAAGGCUGCGGGAAGGUUAUAGUACCUAUAUCCAGAUACUGAUCUUUUUCCUGUUACAUCCACUUCCAUGUCUACUUCUCAUUCAUCUGUUAGUUUACCUAUUUUUGUUCCUUCUGUUAACACUAGUCAUAUAGUAGAUCAUGUUGUUGAUGUUGUUUCUUGCAAUCACACAUUUACAUCUAAUAAAGUGGAUUUGUUUUGGCAUCAAAGAUUGGGGCAUAUGUCUUUCCACAAAAUGAAGUCCAUUACAUAUUUGUCUAACAAAAUAUCACCUAAACAAUCUUUCUUGUGUUCUAUUUGCCCAAUGGCUAGACAAUAAAGACUACAUUUCCCUGAAAGUGUUAUACAUUCUACUAUCCUAUUUCAAUUAGUUCAUAUUGAUAUUUGGGGUCCUUAUAACACUAAAACUUACAAUGGGUUCAGAUAUUUCUUGACCAUAGUAGAUGAAUUUAUAAGGGCUACUUGGACUCACUUCCUUUCUUGUAAAAACAAUGCACUUUCCAUCAUUAAGGCUUUUACAGCCAUGGUCAAAGUACAUUUUAAAUUCCCUAUUAAAACUUUUAGGUUUGACAAUGCUCUUGAACUUGGGGGCAGUUCUGAAGGAACUCAUUUCUUUAACGGUGAAGGGAUUUUACACCUGUCACACCUCCUUUUUACCCGAAAGGGGAUAUAAGGGAGUUUUUCCAAUUAAAGUGACAUAAAUCAAUAUGAGAUUAUUUAUAUUUAAAUUCAGAGUCGUCACUUGGGAUAAUUUAUGGUGUCCCAAGUUACCGAUUUAAAAUCCCGAAUCGAGGAAGUUUGACUCUAUUUUACAGUCCUCGAAACACAAAAAUCCAGGUAAGGAAUUAUGAUAACCCGGGAGAAGGUGUUAGCCAUUCCCGGGUUCCGUGGUUUUAGCACGGUCGCUCAACUAUUAUUAAUUAGCCUAAUUAUCUAGUUCCUAAUUAACCUACGUACAUUUUUAACCUACGUACAUUUUUAACUUCCUAACCGCUUUAAUGUUUAUAGAAAAAACCAUGAUCGUCGUGCAAUUGUCGUUUUGAACACAUUGUGAAUCGCGUCACAUGAAAUCCACCCACGGUUUACAACAUGUUUAAUUUUAUUAAUAAUAUUCAAAGUUAUAGUUGGGUCACAUGAAAUGUGCACCCGAAUUUGGAUUAUUACGUAUUACAACUACAUCACGGGAACCAUACCCGUAAUUAUGAUGAUUUUAUUUUAAACGCGCCUAAAGCAAUGUAUAAUGUUUGAUUGUCUUAAAGUUCAGGGUUGCAUGUGAGGUUCUAAUAUUUAUGGAAUUCUGCGGGUGUCAGCUAACUCUUUUAAUUUAACAAAAGCUUGAGAAGGAAGAAAAAUUAAUUUAACAAAGCUAUUGAGAAAGAAGAAAAAUAAGAAAUUGGAAGAAGAUAUUUUACCACUAAGGAUUUCAAGUUUGUCCACUUAUAGCUCAGUCGAACUAGGGGAAAUAGCUGAAUGAAGCAAAUGAAAUGCAGACAUAGAACGAAACAAUCCAGAUUGCAAUCUACACCUGACCAAACUUAUGCACAUCGAUGCCUACUGGCUACUGCUCAAGUGGUAUUUUGAUGACAAACUUGAUUUCAAAUUGCUAUAUGUGUAUUUAGGAAUAAGAGCACAACUUUUGGAAGAUGUCACAAACUUACACCAACAGUUGGUGUGACAAAUUAAUACACAAUUCGCUUGAUCAAAUUACCUUCUACAAUCAAACACCACCUAUAUGUCAAGCAAUUAUUUAGAAGGAAAUAGAUGGGGAAUUUCAGAGAAACGUGGACAAUGGAAAUGCGACUAAAUGCAACAUCGCACACUCGGUUCUUUCACAAACACUCGCAAUGAACACAGAAUGGUAUGAAAUCCAACAAUGUGUUAGCUGGCUAUAUCAUGCUAUGGAUCAAUGAGAUAUUUUUAUUCGAUAUUUUUCGCUUUUAUAUCUUCUUUUGAUUAAGGUACGCUGUUGGCACUACAUAUGCAGUUUUAAGAACUACCUCAAAAAGUCUAGGCAAAGUUUGAUCUACUAAAAUGAGUUGUAAAUAAUUGCUCAGACCAGAAGUUGGUAUCUAAAUCAUAAGGCUUAGCUUCUGCUGUAGAAAAUUCUGCCAAAAGCAUUUAAAAAAUAGGUAAAGGCAAACAGGGAGCUCGAGAGCAUAUCUCAAAUCAAGCUAAUAGAAACAAUCUCCAGAUAUUCCGAGAAGAUCACAAACAAUGACGUCAAUAUUUCGUACCUAAAAUGACUACAAAGAUCGACUGAACUGAUUUAAGCACAACGAGACAUGCUUCAAACCACCUUUAAUAAAAUAGAAGAUCAUAGCAGUAACAAACUAAUUUCGAAACCAUCAUCUUUUGAAUUCCUAAACAUUGAUUAAUACAAAGAUUCAUAUUGAAAUCGAUUAACAGAACCAAGCAUUAACUCAAUCCAAGCAUACAAAUUAACCUGGCAUUGAGCCAUGACUAUAGACGAAACAACACUGUUAAUCCAAAUUUAGAAUCAAUGAUCUUCAGGCUACCAAACACGGACGUCAAUUUAUCAUUUAAGCAUAUUUACUACCCUGGCAAUCAGAGAUUAGCCAAGCUGUAUUUAGCACCAGAACACUCAAAUGAUAUUAUACAAAUCAGUUUCAAUUAAUUCAUUCGAACAAAUUCUCACAUACUCCAUAAUUAGAUUGACUUAGCAUUUAUCAUUUAGAUCCACAUGAAAGCAGUAAAGGAUAAGAUAUGAACCUGAAAACCGAAAUUUCGAUUAUCCUUUGAUGUUCGAAUGUGAUACAAGCAGUAGAAAGCUAAGAAACGAGCUUGAAAGAAAAAUCAACUACUGAAAUCUGAGCCUUAACAACAGCCGCGACGGACUCGAAUAAACCCCGACUCAAUCAAAAUUCGAACGACCACUCAGCUUCANNNNNNNNNNNNNNNNNNNNNNNNNAACCGAUCCUAGUUUCUUCUAGUUUCCUCCUAAAGACCUCUGAAAAAGCCUCUAUAUAUACCCUUACCUCCAGAUUCUUUCUUCCUCUUCAAGAAAUCGGAUAAAGCCCCUUUGAAAACGAGCACCUGAUGAAUGUGAGGCUCAGAUUGAAUGAAAUCGAUCCGACGCCUCUUACUCAUCCAACACACCUUCUAGAGCCUUCUAACGCGUGAUUUAGCUUGCAAACGGGCGACUAAGGGAGGGUAGUUGUCGAUUAGGAAUAUUCCUUCGGCACAGGCCGUUAGGAUUUUGUGACGUGGAAAAGGGAUAGAGACAGGGUGACCAUGUGCGGGUUUAGGGGUAAACUCGCCUGAAAUUCAGACGAGUUUUGGGCGAUUUUGGGCUAGGCAGAGGCGGAGAUGGGGUGGGCGCCAUUUUGGUUGUGUCUUAG
rnacentral:lncRNA from 1 species